rnacentral:ribozyme from 1 species
UAGACUCGCAAGCUGAAAAAAAAAAAAAAAAAAAAAAAAAAAAAA